rnacentral:rRNA from 1 species
GAGUGCCUACGGGGCGCAGCAGUCGGGAAUAUUGCGCAAUGGAGUAAACUCUGACGCAGUGACGCCGCGUGCAGGAAGAAGGUUUUCGGAUUGUAAACUGCUUUAGACAGGGAAGGAAGAAAUGACGGUACCUGUAGAAUAAGCUCCGGCUAACUACGUGCCAGCAGCCGCGGUAAUACGGAGGAUGCGAGCGUUAUCCGGAUUUAUUGGGUUUAAAGGGUGCGCAGGCGGUCUGUUAAGUCAGCGGUCAAAGCCCGGGGCUCAACCCCGGCCCGCCGUUGAAACUGGCAGUCUCGAGUUGGAGG